UUCUCUGCCCCGCACCCCCCGAAGAAGAAGACGACGACAAAGAAGCUGCAGCGCUACUGGGAAGGGGCCCCCCAGCCGGACCCCCCCGCAGCUGCCCCCUCCAAGGCCAAGAGGCGUCGUCGCAAUGAGAAGACCAGGCCAAGGGCUGGGGCAAAGGGGAGCCUGGAGGCCAGGAAGAGGCCGCGGGCGUCAGAGGCCGCAGGCCGGAUCUCUGGGAAGAGGGACCCGUUCCCCGGAGCCGCCCCCCUCUCUCGCCACAAGGUGAAGAAAUUCCAACGGGGCCAGAAAUCGCAGCUGGCAGGGGCGUCCAGCCGGCGGCUCUGGGACCAUCUGGCCUCGCUGGAUCAGAAGGUGGAGCUGGCAGCGCAGCAGGCCGCGCGCAUGGAGCUGCUGCUGCCCGAGGAGCCAGGGUGAGUGGCCCCCCCCCGGAGCUGGGGCAGCUGCCCCAGUGCCCCCAUCAUCUGCUACCU
rnacentral:lncRNA from 1 species